UCUGCCUACAGCUGAGUAGAGUGGAAGUGAUGCAAUCUGACUUCUGAGUCUGGUUCAUAACAAUGCUAUGCACUUCCGUCUUCUUUAAAUGGAACAUAUAUUCUAGAGUUUAGCAACCACGUUAAGGGCAAGCCCAAGUUAGCCCAUAGGGAAGAGCUGUGUGUAGGCGUUCUGGCCAGCUGAGGUCCCAGCUGACAGCUAGCAUCAACCACCCACACAUUUGAAUCAUCUAACUCCACCCCUGUCUACCAUGGAAGGACUGACCUGCAGGUUCUCAGUGGCAGCAAGCCCUUGGGAUUUGCUACUUCUCUUCUAUGAUUGCUUAAUAACUCAGUCAGCAUGAACAGAUCCUUGUGAUGUG
rnacentral:lncRNA from 1 species